rnacentral:tRNA from 1 species
UUCGGCUUAGCUCAGUUGGUAGAGUACCCGACUGUUAAUCGGGUUGUCCCAGGUUCGAGCCCUGGAGCCGGAGCCA